rnacentral:lncRNA from 1 species
CCGGCUGAUCUUGGUCGUUAAGGACAGACCUUCGACCAAGAAAUUUGAAGCUGUCGUUUGGGAGAAGCCAUGGGAGCAUUUCAAGAGUCUCACCUCGUUUAAGCCUAUGCCUGGGGGAUGGACUCCGAUAGACCCCACGGAGAAGCACGUGAUGGAGAUCGGGCAGUUCGCGGUGACAGAGUACAACAAACGGUCAAAGAGCGCGUUGAAGUUCGAGAGCGUGGAGAAGGCCUGGACUCAGGUGGUUUCCGGCACCAAUUACCGGCUGAUCUUGGUCGUCAAGGACGAACCUUCGACCAAGAAAUUGUUAGUUGUCGUUUGGGAGAAGCCAUGGGAGCAUUUCAAGAGUCUCACCUCGUUUAAGCCUAUGCCUGGGGGAUGGACUCCGAUAGACCCCACGGAGAAGCACGUGAUGGAGAUCGGGCAGUUCGCGGUGACAGAGUACAACAAACGGUCAAAG